rnacentral:rRNA from 1 species
UACGUAGGCAGCGAGCGUUGUUCGGAUUUACUGGGCGUAAAGGGUGUGUAGGCGGUUUUCUAAGUUUGGUGUGAAAUCUCCCGGCUCAACCGGGAGGGUGCGCCGAAAACUGGGAGACUAGAGUGCGGGAUGGGAGAGUAGAAUUCCUGGUGUAGCGGUGAAAUGCGUAGAUAUCAGGAGGAAUACCGGUGGUGUAGACGGCUCUCUGGACCGCCACUGACGCUGAGACACGAAAGCGUGGGUAGCAAACAGG